UACGUAGGGGGCGAGCGUUGUCCGGAUUUAUUGGGCGUAAAGAGCUCGUAGGCGGCUUGUCGCGUCGAAUGUGAAAUCUCGGGGCUCAACUCCGAGCUUGCAUUCGAUACGGGCAGGCUAGAGUUCGGUAGGGGAGACUGGAAUUCCUGGUGUAGCGGUGAAAUGCGUAGAUAUCCGGAGGAACACCAGUGGCGAAAGCGGCCACCUGGACUGUACCUGACGCUCAAACGCGAAAGCUAGGGGAGCGAACGGG
rnacentral:rRNA from 1 species